GUGAACCUACUAUGUACCAGCAGACAUCAGAGGGAAAAGAGAAGGUCUAAUUAGAGUCUACCCUUGAGGAACUCACAGUCCAGUGGGCUAGAUUAGUAAACAGCUAAUUAAAAUUCAUUGUGAAAAUGCUUUAAGUACCUAGGCUUUGAGAUACUGAUGAGCACAGAGAAGGAAAAGGCUCACUGAUUUUGAGAAAGGGCCAAAAUAUAGCCUGUGUUAUAGAGAGGCCGUGUGUGCUAGCUCAAAUUUAUAUAAAAGUAGCAACUCACAUUUUUAUAGUACAGUAUGGUUUUCAAAGCAUUUUCACAUAUUUAUUUCAUUUUAUUCCUCCUCUUCCUUUAUGGAGAAAUUGCCCUUCUUCCCUUUUAACAGCUUAAGGAAUUAAGAGUUGGAGAGCUUGAGAUUUGUUCAAAAGGAUCGAACGUGAAAGUGCAGGACUCAGAGCUAGGCUUUUUGAUUUCAGCGUUUGUUUGGAACUCACUGUGAGUUGAACAGGUUCUUAGCUAUGAGCAAAGUUAUAAAAUAACAACAAAAGAUGACAAAGUGCCCCCUGAACCCCUCUGGCACUGGGCUGUAGCCAGGAAUAGCGCCAGCCAAGCAGGACAGCAUGGGCCCAGAGAAGGCAUCCGUGCAGCCUUCCCUGGGCAUUAGAGUCCUGAAACCACCUGCGUGCCUGUGAGGUCUCUUGGACCACGGCCCCAGAUGCUUCAAGAAACUCGUUGUUGUCUUGCCCACUGGCGGAUAGAUUCUUGAUGCCUACUCCUUGGGUGGAGUCGGAAGUUAGUGCACCGGUGGGCAAAGUCUCCAUCAGGUCUCCUAAACGCAGGGAAGGCCCAGGAAAAGAGUACCUGGCAUUUUUCGUCUCUUUUUGUGGGAGCUGGACUCAACUUGCCAAGUUUGGCAAUUCCUGAGUGUGAGAAGGAAGUUUAGAAGCCAACACUUAGCAACACUUUGUAUUCCCUUCACCAUUACCUCUCAGUAGUGCCGAUUUCCUGCUUUCAAAAUUACAUUUAUUCUGUUUGGCUCCAUUUCCAACUCCCUGAAGCCCUUUUGAACCCAGCAGGAACCAGCAAAUCCACUCCCAACCGCCUCCUUCGCCGGGCGGCUUGACCACAUCUUCACCAUCACAAUCACGCCAGGAACAGCUCACUUAAUUGUUGAUCAAACCCAUUCAUUUAGGUGUGUGGUUAAACCCUCUUCCCUGGAUGACUGGCCAAGCCAGCUCUCGAGUUUAAUCAGUAAGAGCCAGUGACUUUCCCUUCUGACCGCUGAUUGGGAAAGAAGGGAAAAGGUCCUUACUCAUCUGCAAAACGCAGCCUGUCUUCCUCUGCUGCCAGGAAGCGGGGCCGGAGGCUCCUCUGUGAAAAGGGGCCAGGUGGGGAGCAGGGCCCGGUGUCAGGGCUGUGGUUCUUACAGAUCAGUGAUUCUCAAACUGUGGGCUCUUGGGCAAAAGCAGCAGCACCUGGGAACUUGUUAGACGUGGAAAUUCUUGGGCCCCGCCCUGGAACUACUAAUUCAGAAAUUCUGGAGGUGGAGUACGGCCAUCUGUGUUCUAACAAGCCUUCCAGGUGACUUGGAAGCACGCUAGAGCUUGAGAACCAUGGCGGCAGACCCAGGGGCGGCUUCUGACAUGGGCUCCAAGCUUCACGGAUGCCACCACCUUUCAGUUCUCCUCAGUGGAUCUGAAUGGGACCUGAAGGAACUUUCUUGAAAGCAGUACAUCAGCCUACCCUAGAUCUUCCUCCAGGAGAGACUCGUCAGCAGCUACUACACAGAUGGCGACUGUUUCGGUCUUUAGGGAAAAGUCUAUCCCCAUCGAUUCGUCGUCGUCUUUCUCCUCUAUAGAGGGCAUCUUAAUACUGUCCUCCAUGGUCUCCUUCAGGUGGAUUUCUUCUCGGCUCACCUGCUUGGUGUCAUUCAACGCCCUGGAAAAAUAAUUACGGUACAGACACAAUCCCUCCGGGCUUCCUUCUGGGGCAGGUCCUGCCGUGUGGCCACAGUCCGUCCACACCCUGGUUCCCGUGCUGGGAAAGGACGAUGGGAACGGGGUGGCUCCAAGGACGCGAGCCCCCCGAUCUGAGCGCCUGACGAGCGUCUACGCUGCCAACGAGGGGCCGGCUGCUGGCACUCGCCCGCUUACCCUUAGGAAACAUGAAACCAGCCAUCUAUUCUUCCCAGUGGCUCAUGCUGCUUCAUCCUCAAAGGAGGAAGCCAAUCAUUACCUGUCACACAUCAAAUAGCUCCCCAUUAGCCCCGAGCGUUGUGCUAAAGCCACCUCCCGCUCCCUACUCCUGGAAGACAGACCGUCUGGCAAAAACACCCCGAGGCUAUUGUGUGCCGUUUCUGCUCGUUGGCGAGAAUACACCUAGAUGGUGGAAAAUUGAUUCAAAGGCGAUGAGACAAAGGGGCACCCCUUUCAAGGAUCGGCGAGCGGGACAGGAAGGUUUGGGGCUUGUAAUUCUCAUUAACAUGACUAGAAGUUACUCAUGUAAAUCCCGCACCCCCAGAGAGAAAUCCAGGCUGCCCCACCCCCAAGACUUUUUGUUCCCAGGUGGUUCAGGCCCCUGAAUGUGGAUGCUACACUUUCCCAGGAGAGGGGAUCAGACACCACGAAGUUCUCUCCAGCCACACCGAGCUGGUCAGGCCAGGAAGUGUGCCCACUGCCUCUCACACCUAAGGGCAGUCUCUUCCCUUCUAACCAGCUAUGCUUUUAUUUCGGAGGUGUCACCACCGGGGUGGGAGUGGGGGACAGGGACGGAAAAGGGUUCUUGCCUCUGCAAUGCUUAUAACCAGUAAAAUCAUGUGUACUUGGCUUUAGAGAUUAAAAGCCACGGCUUCCAAUGAGGACAAUUUAUUUCCUGGAGAGGAACGGCCAGGCACAGAGCACCAUGAAGGAAAGGAGCCCAUGUACCCUCUGUCAAAAGCAUCCUCUUCCAGAGAACUCUGGUAAUAGUGCACAGACAUUAAAGAAUUCAUCACUAAGAACGUAUUUGUGAAAUGCUAAGGAAAAGAAAGUUUAAAAACCAUGCUUCUCGGAUCACAGCUGUGUUCCUUGUAAGAAAUGGAUCACUCCGCCCCUACUAAUAAAAGUUGUAACUUUGCAAGGGGCUGUCAAUCAA